CCCAUGAAUGUGUGUUGCUCCUCCUCUUUCAGCUGAAGGAGGAGGGUAUGGCAUUAAAGGGCUCACCAGAGCCAUACACCUGCCCCGUGAAGCAGUUAGAAUUCAAGCUGAAGACUUCCCGUACCUGCACCAGCCAUCUGCGUUAGAGUGUGCAUGCAGGGUGUGCUCAGGCAGCACGGCAUCUGUGACUAGAAACUUCCUCACGCUGCCCCGGGUCCUAAUGCUUCAUAUCAAGCGAUUUACUGCAGGCAACUGGGAGCCAGAGAAGGUGGAUGAUCCCAUGUCCAUCCCUGCAGAAAUAACCCUCCCAGCCGUAUGUGAGAAGACAGCCCAUGUCCAGUAUGGAGCCAGGGCAAGCUCCCUGGGGAAAAACAACAUGGACAACACACCUGCAAACUCCCCGAAAGGCACCCUAGAUAGACCAGGUAGGACAUUGUGUUACUGACAUCAUGCAGAACACCCUCUCAUGAAACAGGACUGUUGAGGAAAGCAAGUCGGAAGCUGAAGUUAAGAGUUUAUUUGUUGAUGGGUUUCCACUUCACUUUCUGGUUUGU